UGGAGCCGUGGCGAGGACAGAGCUGGUGACGCCAUUACGCAGAGACGAGCAGCUGAGAGAGGGGAGACAAAUAAGCUGAAAGUUGCAUGAGAGAGAAAGCAGAAGUGCAAAAUUCAGCAGUGGGAGUGCAGCAAUUAACAAGUAAGGAUGCCGUUAGUCGAUAUCCUGGCGCCAAAAUCCCGACAUGCGUCCAGAAUACCAACAUCAAUGGAAAUGCACCAUGGGAAUCCCAACAGCCGGCAUGCCAAACGAACACUGAUAUGAUGUGAGGAGGGGAACGGAGGCAGCAGGAAGCCACAGACUGAGAGUUGUAUAAUGGGAAGAGCAGGGUCCAUUGGGGGACCAAAAAGGGGUCCAGCCACUACACAUAGUGCGUCAAGGAAGUAAUAUAUGCCUAUAUACUAGAUCUCCAACCAACGAACUCUUUAUGCACUAGAUGGAGAGAUGAGACAGACCAAAAACAUUCUGUACCUGGGACACCCAUCAAGGCAACUGCUGUUAAACUAACUUGUGAGCUGCUCAGCAUGCAACAUAAAGGAAGCAGUAUAUAAUACCCUGCUCACCAUAAAACAUAAAGGAAGCAGUAUAUAAUACCCUGCUCACUAUACAACAUAAAGGAAGCAGUAUUUAAUACCCUGCUCACCAUACAACAUAAAGGAAGCAGUUUAUAAUACCCUGCUCACCAUACAACAUAAAGGAAGCAGUAUAUAAUACCCUGCUCACCAUACAACAUAAAGGAAACCGUAUAUAAUACCCUGCUCAGCAUACAACAUAAAGGAAGCAGUUUAUAAUACCCUGCUUACCAUACAACAUAAAGGAAGCAGUAUAUAAUACCUUGCUCACCAUACAACAUAAAGGAAACCGUAUAUAAUACCCUGCUCAGCAUACAACAUAAAGGAAGCAGUGUAUAAUACCCUGCUCAGCAUACAACAUAAAGGAAACCGUAUAUAAUACCCUGCUCAGCAUACAACAUAAAGGAAGCAGUAUAUAAUACCCUGCUCACCAUACAACAUAAAGGAAGCAGUGUAUAAUACCCUGCUCACCAUACAACAUAAAGGAAACCGUAUACAAUACCCUGCUCACCGUACAACAUAAAGGAAACCGCAUAUAAUACCCUGCUCACCAUACAACAUAAAGGAAGCAGUAUAUAAUACCCUUCUCAUUUAUUAGGUAUUUAAAACUUUACCUUGUUUACCAAUGUCUUAGUUUAUUGGUAAAGUGUCAGUCUGUUCAGAGUGCUUAUGUGGCUACAGAUCCCAAAUUCACUAGUAGCAGCAUUAUUUACAGAAAUACAGUAAUUCUAUUUGGCUAUUCUGUGUUUAGCACAGUAGCAGAUUUUGCUACUGUUAUCGAUGGGGGUCUCCCAGCACAGGGCAAGGCUGCCAAUCGUGCUAAGGGCCGCUCAGUGUUGUGAUCGCAAUCCAAUUGUGAACGCAUCACAAUUUGCGACUGCAGAAAACUAGGGUCGACCCCUGCCUGCGCAGCCUGGCUGUGAAGGCAGUCGCAGGUCGACCAUAUUUCGCAUUGCAGUGGCCGCAUGUGAAGUCACGUGGCCGUCCCAAAAAUAGCCCAGACCCCCUUAUGUUUUCGUCGGCACGCCCCACAAUGCCACAUCGCCGCCCCCAUCUGCCCCGCGAACUCCUGUGCCUGUCAAUCAGGCAGUGGCAUUCGCACCACUGAGAUGUGAUCACACUCUCCGGCCUGCGCAAAACGAGCACUGCGCAAGCGCACCAGAAAACGGCAACAUGCUAUCGCAUCUCAGAUGUGACCCAUCCUGAAUAAGGCUGUAAAUGGGUUUUCAUUUAUUUCUUUUUUGCUUUUCAGACUUUUUUAGGGCAAUACAAUUAAACUGACUAAACCAAUUUGUAUGUAUACAUACCUAGACU